GUGUAGAAAAAAACGAGGCGAAUAUGAGGAGGACUCGGGGGACGUAAGAAGAACAGAUGAUCAUAAGCGAAGAGCUAAAUAGUGCUAGAGACGAUGAGUCGCAGACGAGCGUCGAACUAAAAACCGUGUAUACGUAUGGCGGUGGUGGUCACUGCGCCACCAUUGCUGCGUCUCUAUGGUUUAUCUCUCACACUCGUGUGCCGCUUCUUUUUUAGAACG
ensembl:ncRNA ZC518.6 ncRNA